AUGUCUCUACACACUCAUUUCCACAUUGCAACCUGUGUUGACUCAGUGAAGAAAUUCAACGGAAAUGAACACCCCUUUGCAGAGAAGAGCCCCCCAAGCAAAAAUUUCCAAAGGAGUCCCUGUACCCUUGUGAAUCGCCGAAGAAACCUCUCUCCAGAGAAGAGCUUCUCUUGUGGGGGGCUCCCAGUGGUAUUGCUGUCGGUCUUCUUACAAGCUCUUAACUGGGCCAUGACUCUGGACACAGCACAGGCACUUCCAGGGCUGCCCUGGUCGGCUCCUGAGGAUUCUGAUGGACCCGGAAAGGUCAGAACCGUGAGAACCCAGACAGUUCAGAGGGAUUAUCUGGCCUCCCUACAAGAACCAAGAUGACCCUUUUGAUAUUUUGGGGUAAGCAUCAGGCAAGCUCUCCCAAGUUUGGCUUCUAAAGAGACUCAAGACCCUUCUCCAAGAAGUGGAUUGAACUCAGUGUGAAGAAUAGCCUAAUUUCCUCUGUGCCUCUGUGCCUUAGCAGGGAGAAUUAGCUGAGUGAUAGAUGGAGACAUGCUUUCCUGGUGCACAUACUCACAGCCAUCUUAACUACAUGGCCAUUAAGGACACAGAUUGGGAGCCAGAUAACCUUCAUUUGGAUGCCAGCUGUGUGACUUUGGACAGCUUACUUAACCUCUCUGUGCCUCAGUUUUUCAUCUGUAAAAUGGACAAAGUACUCCUACUGUCUCAUAAGACUGUUGUGAGGAUUAAAUAUAUAUAAAGCACUUAGGAGGGGCUCCUGGGUAGCUCAGCAUCUGAGUGUCUGCCUUCAGCUCAGAGCGUGACCUCGGGGUCUCGGGGUCGAAUCCCACAUUGGGCUCCCUGCAUGCAGCCUGCUUCUCCCUCUGCCUGUGUCUCUGCCUCUUUCUGUGUGUCUCUCAUGAAUAAAUAAAUAAAAUCUUUAAAAAACAAUAAAGCACUUAGGAGAGUUCCUGGUGUAUAGCAAGUGCUGUAUGCAGGUUGGAUGUUAUUUCUAUUAUUUUUAUUUAUUCUCAUUAUUAGUAAAGCAUUUGCAGAUAUAAGGUAUCUUCACCACUCUUCAUGACACACAAUGAUUCCCUUUCUUCCAGCAAACCCAUGAGACAGAUUUUAUUACUAUCCUCACCAUAGAUAAGAGGAAAUUUAAGAUCAGAAGACAUAAGUGACUUGUUAACCAUCUGUGCUCAUUUCAUCGUACCAUUCUUGUCUCUUGAUGACAGUACAGAUAAUGACCUUCCCAUGAUGGUCAGGCCCUGUCAUGGCAGUCAGGGCAGGGGCAGAUGGCUCAGGAUAGGCUGUUUUCCCAACACGCUGUCUCUUUGGCUAGUGUCCCAUGGAUCAUCUCUCUUUACUGUUGGACCACCCUAUCAUUAAAGCCAUGCAUGUGCCCAGCACCUUACCUCUGCUGACUUUUCUCAUAUAGUCCCUAACUGCAAAAUGAACCUCUAGCUUUCUGUUUCUCAUGAGCUUGGUGGUCAUUUUGUCUCAUUACAGUAUGCCUCAUAUACUCAAAGUGAUUUUCCCUGGGGCAAGAAAAAAAAUCUGCCACCUGCUGCCAGGCUCAGAGAGAGCCUGUUUUGUUGGACUAGAAAUGAGCAGGAGGCCAGGGCUAUAGGCACCUGGGGACCAGGAAAUCAAUGUCCUCCAUUCCCAGCUAUUAGCUACUAAGGGCAUGUUUGCUGAUGGCAUCUGCUUGUAUGCAGGCAUUCCAAGACUGCCGCAAGCCUGGUGCAAGGUGCCAGAAGGUUACAAAAAUGUACUAGACACAGGCAGUGCACAAUGAGACUUACAGCCCAGGGAUGCAUGCAAAGUGCUCAUACGGCAAAUUCUAAUGCUCAAGCCAGCCUACCUCGUUUCAAAUCCUGCUCUUCCUCUUCCUAACUUCAUAUCCUUAGGCAAGCUGCUUAACUUUUCUAUGCCUCAGUUUCUCAUCUACAAAAAUUUCUCAUCUAUCUUAUCAGGAUUAAGUAAAUUAAUAUAUACAAAGCUCAUAGUGCAAUGGCUGUACAUGGCAAGCAGUUAAUCAUAUCAUAUUACUAUUAUUAUUAUCAUCAUAUGUUUAUAUACUAUUAAACAUGCAGUAUAUACACAGUAUAUACUAUAUAUAGAAUAGAGAACAUACACUAUAUAGUUAUACCACGUAAGUAUAUAAUAUAUAUAUAGCACACGGCCUACAUAUAGCAUAUUAUUACAUAUACUGUUAUUAAAAUAACUACAUGUUAUCAUGACUACAUUCUGUAGUGACACUCAGGAGAAAGUGAUUAUAUCUGACAAGAUGAGUCAGAGUUAUGGUUAUAAAAUAGCAUAAUAGUCUCUAUUUUUGAGGGCUCAAAAUGUGCUAACCCCUUCCCAAGUAUCAUUACCAUAAUCCUCAUAAACCCUCACAAGUGGAAAGGAGCUGCCACAUUUUGAAUGAGAAAAGUAAUACUUAGGGGUGCCUGAGCAUCUGCCUUUGGCUCAGGGUGUGAUCCCAGGGUCCUGGGAUCGAGUCCCA
rnacentral:lncRNA from 1 species